CUUUCUUUUUUUUCCUGUGUAUUUGUGUUGUUUAAACCGUCGAGUAGUAUUUGUAUGCUAGGUAUGUUUGGAUUGGGAACAAACAACUGCAUCACGCUCAAAAUCUGCAGCUUUUCCAAGUGACUCUUAUCUAGUCCUCUCUGAGAAGGUGCAAAAUUCCCCAAACUAGCUCAAGUGAAAUCUCCCGUAUGUUACUAAGGCUCUCCUCUUAAUUCUUUGGGGUCCAGAGAACUAUAUACCUACAGAUUCAAAGGUUAUUGUCCUUCAGUCCCCUCUGUCACAGUUACUUAGAAUUCGGGUUUAAUAUCACUAAACAGGAGUCUUAGUCUAGACCUCCUGUUACAGUAGAAUAAUUAAUUCAUAAGAAAAUUAUUGCUGAGCUGUUUUGCAAGUAUCUUGCACAAUUAAAAUGUUUUCCAAAGAAAACUCUGCAGGAAUUCCCUACUACUGGUAGUCUAAAGCAGUUUCUUUCUUCUCCUUCCUUUAUCUCAAGUUAACUGAAUCUGAGAAAGUAAGUUCACCACAAGGAAUAAUUCUUCUGAAGAGAGUUAUUUUGAACCAGUCAUAACAUUGUUUUUCAUAUCAACAUCUUAUUUUACAUAAAAAUGCAAAACAGAAAUGGGAGAUGAAAAUUACCUUAAUUCCGAUAGCAUCAGAACCUUUUCAGACAUCUUUCCUAGAGGAAGUUUGGGUUAGAUCAGUAGAAUAUUGUGAAGUGCUGCGAUGUUAACAAAGCUGAAAAAUGAAGCUCCGGGUUCUUCUCACCAGCUGUAUACUGCCCCUUACUAUGCUUAGUGCAUAAAUGAGUAAAGCUGUUGACAGACAGCAAAACUUCAUGGCAGGGUGGGCUACAGAUAUCCGACUGUGGUGCAUGGGUGUGAUUUUGUAACGUGCAUAGCUGGUGUUGUGCCUCACACAGUAGCACUGCUUACAGAAGGGCAGUUUAGCUUCAUAUACGGCUCUCUCCAGGCAGCAUGUGCGUUCCUGCACCACUGAGUUUCGCGAGUGAGAAAAAAAAUUCAAAUGAGAGGAAGGGAAGUUUUGUGUAUAGCAUGCAUGCCUGCAAUAGUAUGAAUACAGAACGUAACACACAGGGAGUCUGCCCUUGCUAAGUAAACAUCCCUCUUAAAAAAAAAAAAAAAAAAAAAAAAAGCUUCUGACCAUUUGGAUUCUGCUUUUUUUUAAUUACAUCUAUAUGUAAAAGUUAUGAGUUGAGCAUGAAACUGCUUGUCAGAGUUCAUUGUUCAGAUCCCUAGUCUUUGAGAAAAAAUGGAGAAAUCCGAGUCAGAAGAAGAGAUAGACAAUGUCUUUGAAUACUCUUUUUUACACUAA